CCUACGGGUGGCUGCAGUCGAGAAUCUUCGGCAAUGAGCGCAAGCUUGACCGAGCGAUGCCGCGUGCGGGAUGAAGGCCUUCGGGUUGUAAACCGCUGUCGUAGGGGAUUAAUGGUCAUGGGGUUCUCCUCAUGAUUUGAAUGAUCCUAGGAGGAAGGACGGGCUAAGUUCGUGCCAGCAGCCGCGGUAAGACGAACCGUCCAAACGUUAUUCGGAAUCACUGGGCUUACAGAGUUCGUAGGCGGUCUGGAAAGUUGGGUGUGAAAUCCCUCGGCUCAACCGAGGAACUGCGCUCAAAACUACCAGACUCGAGGGAGAUAGAGGAAAGCGGAACUGAUGGUGGAGCGGUGAAAUGCGUUGAUAUCAUCAGGAACACCGGUGGCGAAGGCGGCUUUCUGGGUCUCUCCUGACGCUGAGGAACGAAAGCUAGGGGAGCGAAC
rnacentral:rRNA from 1 species